rnacentral:lncRNA from 1 species
AUGAGACAUCUUUUUUCUGUAGGACUCCUAAGAGACAAGUUACAUUCCAGAGUAACAUCAAUCAUUUGUCCAAUCCUGCUUUGCUCACGAGAGGUUCUCCACAAGCGUCUGAAGAAUCAGUCUAACACUGAUUUUCUGGUAUGCUCCUGCAAACAGGCUUUCUCAAAAUCUCUUUUCUUACCUAAGUUUAUGAAGCUAAUCUAAUUUUUCUGUUCUUCCUCCUUUACUGGAGGUGAUGGCCUGUCUUGACUGUCCCACUUAGUGGGUGAAGCAAAGCCCGAUGUUCUGCCUUAGUUUGCUGAUACAGUGGUCAGUUUCUCAUACAAAUUGCACCUUUUGGGGCCCUGGGCAGUCAGGGGCACUGCUGUUAGCUCAUCAGUAGCAUUGAAAGUCUUUCUGGCAUGCAUUUUGCAGCAUUCGUGGCUUUUUUAAAAAGCAGCCUACAUGACUUUUGACAUGUUGGGAAAGAGGGGGUGGAUACAAAGGUAAACAAUCAAACUGUGUGAGUUGCCAAAUCAAACCCAGGGAUGCCUGACGGGCAGGUGAGUGAGGUAGAAGUGCUCUGGGGCAACACUCAGAGCAGAGAUGUCUUUGUUACUCUGAGGCUCCAAGUUAUCCUGAAGUAACUGUUUUUAUCUUUCUUCAUCCUAACAGACAUCAGAGAGAAAAAAAAAAAAGCCUGCUUUGAUACAAGACUGCACUCACUCUUCUCAGAGCCGUCUGUUCUUACCAUGGCAUUAGGUUUUUUUCCUAUUCUUUUGUGUUAAUGUGGUCAAAAGAAUUGUAUUGAAAGCAUAAAACAUUGAUCAUUGCUCUCAACCGUGUAUAUAUUUUCAUGUUUGUGUCUUCUGUCACUGUGCCUCUCUGAGGUUUCCUUUACAUGAAUAAUAGAUCUAGCUUUAUUACUGCAUUUCAGGGCUGGAUAUGGCUCCAACAAGAACUGAGCAGAAGGGUCUGUUCAACCAUUUCUCAUCACAUAUUCCCUUUUCUGUUCCUUUCCCAUUCCAUUCCCAGUAUUUCAACUUCAGGAUGACAAUUAAGACUGAAUGUUAAAGAACAUGUUAUUACUUAAGUGUAUGACCCACACAGCUUCUGAGUAACAAUCUCAGUUUUAGUACUUGACUGCCACAUGAGACGAGUUAGAAAUAAAACAGCUUUUACUGCUGUGGUAGAAGGAGGU